AAAAAUAAAAAAAAUAUUAUUUUAAUACAUUUCUAAAAUAAAAUAAUUAUUAAAAAACCGAAACAUAUCACGGGAGAGAAGGGAGUAGCCAGCAGAUAGAAUGAAAAGGAAGGGAGGGAGGCAUGUCGGGAAAGAAAAUGGUGGCCUGCUCUCGGGUAACUGAUGAGGAAGGUGGUGAUGAUGGCAGGUUUCGAUUCACCUCCUUUUUCUUAAAGAAGGGAAUCGUUGGGCAGACAGAAGAAGAAGGGGGGGAGGAAGUGGUGUCAGAGAAGAAAAACUCGAAGGUGAAGGUCUUGAACUGGCACCAAUGAUGACGAGCAUGAUAAUGCUGGUAGCUGUACUUCUGAGAUGGAGUAAAGGCUUCCGAAUAAAAAAAAAGGUGAGGUGUAAGUCUGUGGGGUUCGUUUAGAUGCAUUAUGUCUAUGCUGGGAACCUUCCUCUAGGCAGGUACUGCUAGGCUCGGUGUGUGGUUUCAUCGAAUUCUUAUUCCAUUACCUCUAUGUUUUUUCUUCCUUUUUUACGGCAAUCAUCUUAGUUUGGUUGUGUUGUUA